GAUCCUGGCUCAGGAUGAACGCUAGCUACAGGCUUAACACAUGCAAGUCGAGGGGAAACGACAUCGAAAGCUUGCUUUUGAUGGGCGUCGACCGGCGAACGGGUGAGUAACGCGUAUCCAACCUGCCCAUCACUUGGGAAUAACCUUGCGAAAGUAAGACUAAUGCCCAAUGACAUUUAUAGAAGGCAUCGGAAAUGAAUUAAAGAUUUAUCGGUGAUGGAUGGGGAUGCGUCUGAUUAG
rnacentral:rRNA from 1 species